AACGAACGCUGGCGGCAUGCCUAACACAUGCAAGUCGAACGAGACCUUCGGGUCUAGUGGCGCACGGGUGCGUAACGCGUGGGAACCUGCCCUUAGGUUCGGAAUAACUCCCCGAAAGGGGUGCUAAUACCGGAUAAUGUCUUCGGACCAAAGAUUUAUCGCCUUUGGAUGGGCCCGCGUUGGAUUAGCUAGUUGGUAGGGUAAAAGCCUACCAAGGCGACGAUCCAUAGCUGGUCUGAGAGGAUGAUCAGCCACACUGGGACUGAGACACGGCCCAGACUCCUACGGGAGGCAGCAGGGGGGAAUAUGGGACAAUGGGCGAAAGCCUGAUCCAGCAAUGCCGCGGGAGUGAUGAAGGCCUAGGGUUGUAAAGCUCUUUUACCCGGGAUGAUAAUGACAGUACCGGGAGAAUAAGCUCCGGCUAACUCCGUG
rnacentral:rRNA from 1 species